CCUACGGGUGGCAGCAGUGAGGAAUAUUGGUCAAUGGGCGGAAGCCUGAACCAGCCAAGUCGCGUGAGGGAUUAAGGCCCUGCGGGUCGUAAACCUCUUUUGCAGGGGAGCAGAGGUGCGGACGUGUCCGGGCCGGGAGAGUACCCGGAGACAAAGCAUCGGAUAACUCCGUGCCAGCAGACGCGGUAAUACGGAGGAUGAGAGCGUUAGCCGGAUUUAUUGGGUUUAAGGGGUGCGUAGGCGGGCAUUUAAGCCGGCGGUCAAAUGUCGGGGCUCAACCCCGGCAUGCCGUCGGAACUGGGUGCCUUGAGUGGGCGUGAGGUAUGCGGAAUGCGUGGUGUAGCGGUGAAAUGCAUAGAUAUCACGCAGAACCCCGAUUGCGAAGGCAGCAUACCGGCGCCCUACUGACGCUGAGGCACGAAAGUGCGGGUAUCGAACAGGAUUAGAUACCCGUGUAGUC
rnacentral:rRNA from 1 species